rnacentral:lncRNA from 10 species
GGAGACGCCCGGAGCUGGGGCCCCAUAUGGACAAAGCUCUCGUUUGCCAACAAAAGCAGUUCUUCCCUAUCCCCAGGCAGCAGCUCUAGAAAACGAUCUACUGUCAUUUGAAUCCUUUUUACUGACAAUCUCCCUUUACCACAUGGUUUUCAGUGCGCUUGACAGAAUUUUUUGUUAAAUCAUAUUUCUAAGCUUAGAGUGUGCGUUUUCCCUAUUUAUCAUUCUGUCCUUGGUCUAAGUUUCUCCUCAAGGCCACUUUCACUUUUCCGACAGGCUCAAGCAUAUCUGAAUCGAGAAAAGCAGACAUGAUUGAAGCGCAUUUAUCUCCACUAAUUAAGAGGCUUAUGCCAGGCUGAGCUGAGAUUGUAACACCAGAUGAGCCUCCAUUUCAUCCCGCUACACCUGGAGAAGCUCCUGUGGGAGGAAGACUCAUGGAGACACUUUAAACUGGAAGCAAGAGACCCCAGGGAAGAGUGUUCUUAGGCAGAGGGAACAUAACAUGCUAACGUGCUAUGAGGGGGACCUCAGCUGAUUGGAUGAUGCCCACCAUAUUGGGGGAGGAUCUUCCUCACCCAGUCUACCAACUGCCAUGCCAAUUUCCUCCAGAAACACCCUCACAGACACACCUGAGUAGCCGAAUCAUUCUAAUUGAAAGCUAAACCACCUGGAUUUUCCUUACAGCAGAAGAGGAACAAGACAUUGGUGUGCAAGUGGCAAAAAGAGUCCUGUCCCAGCACUGCAAGGGGAAGAUAAAGGCUCGUCAUCUGUGCGUGCGUCCAUCUGAGUGGAACGUGUGUCCCGGGGGCUGCUGCCACCGCGCCGGUCCCUCCUGUAAUCCGAGCCCGUGUCAGAGGACGCGGCGCCUGCAAGGAAGAAGGGUUGCCGCAGGUGUGGCCAGAUCCUCUAGGCAAGAGGUGUGGAUUCAGGUCCUACUAGUCUUACUCCUGAUGAAGCUGGGCAAAUCAGUUGGCUCUGGAGUAAUUAGUAGCCCCUUCCUCACUGACCAUUGCAAGGAAAUACCAGUGAACUUGAGUUUCUCCAAUGAAGGUGAUCACAGUGAUGAAUGACUUGGCUUCUGCACAGCAAAAGACAUGAUCAUCAGAGCGAACAGACAACCUACAGAAUGGGAGAGCAUUUGUGCCAUCUAUCCAUCUGACAAAAGUCUAAAAUCCAAAGUUUACAAAGAACUUAAACAAAUUUACAAGAAAAAAACAAACGACCCCGUUAAAAAGUGGGCAAAGGAGAUGAACAGACACUUCUCCAAAGAAGACAUUCAUGCAGCCAACAAAGAUAUGAAAAAAGCUCGACAUUACUACUCAUUAGAGAAAUCCAAAUCAAAACCACAAUGAGAUACCACCACAUGCCAGUCAGAAUGGCAAUUAUUAAAAAGUCAAUAAACAACAGAUGCUGGUGAGAUUGUGGAGAAAAAGGAACACUUUUACACUGUUGGUGGGAAUGUAAAUUAGUUCAAACAUUGUGGAAGACAGUGUGGUGAUUCCUUAAAGAACUAGAAGCAGAAAUACCAUUUGACCCAGCAAUUCCAUUCCUGGGUAUCUACCCAAAGGAAUAUAAAUCAUUUCAUUAUAAAGAUACAUGUACGCGUAUGUUCAUUACAGCACCAAUCACAAUAGCAAAGACAUGGAAUCAAUCCAAAUGCCAAUCAAUGAUAGACUGAAUUAGAAAAAAAAAGUAGUACAUGUAUACCAUGAAUACUAUGCAGCCAUAAAAGGAAUGAGAUCAUGUUCUUUGCAGGGUCAUGGAUGGAGCUGGAAGCCGUUACUUUCAGCAAACUAACACAGGAACAGAAAGCCAAACACUGCAUGUUCUCACUUAUAAGUGAGAGCAGAAUGAUGAGAACACAUGGACACAUUAGGGGGAUCAACACACACUGGGGCCUGUUGUGGGGAUGGAGGGAGGGAGAGCAUCAGAAGAAUAGUUAAUGGAUGUUGGGCUUAAUACCUAGGUGAUGGUUUGUGAUAUGGUUAGGCUUUUUGUCCCCACCCAGAUCUUAUCUUGAAUUGUAAUCCCUGUAAUCGCCAAGUGUCUAGGGAGAUACCUGGUAGGGGGUGAUUAAAUCAUGGGGGCGGUUUCCCCCAUGCUGUGGUUGUACGGAAAAGAAAGAGAGAUCAGACUGUUACCGUGUCUAUGUAGAAAGGAAAGACAUAAGAGACUCCAUUUUGAAAAAGACUUGUACUUUAAACAAUUGCUUUGCUGACAUGUUGUUAAUUUGUAGCUUUGCCCCAACCACUUUGCCCAAACCACUUUGACCCAACCUGGAGCUCACAAAAACAUGUGUUGUAUGAAAUCAAGGUUUAAGGGAUCUAGGGCUGUGCAGGACGUGCCUUAUUAACAAAAUGUUUACAAGCAGUAUACUUGGUAAAAGUCAUUGCCAUUCUCUAGUCUCAGUAAACCAGGGGCACAAUGCACUGCGGAAAGCUGCAGGGACCUCUGCCCUUGAAAGCUGGGUCUUGUCCAAGGUUUCUCCCCAUGCGAUAGUCUGAAAUAUGGCCUCGUGGGAUGAGAAAGACCUGACCGUCCCCCAGCCCGACACCCGUAAAGGGUUUGUGCUGAGGUGGAUUAGUAAAAGAGGAAAGCCUCUUGCAGUUGAGAUAGAGGAAGGCUACUGUCUCCUGCCUGCCCCUGGGAACUGAAUGUCUCGGUAUAAAACCCGAUUGUACAUUUGUUCAAUUCUGAGAUGAGAGGAAAACCACCCUGUGGUGGGAGGCGAGACAUGUUUGCAGCAAUGCUGCCUUGUUAUUCUUUACUCCACUGAGAUGUUUGGGUGGAGAGAAACAUAAAUCUGGCUUACGUGUAUGUCCAGUCAUAGUACCUUCCCUUGAACUUAAUUAUGACGUAGAUUCUAUUGCUCACAUGUUUGUUGCUGACCUUCUCCUUAUUAUCACCCUGCUCUCCUACUACAUUCCUUUUUGCUGAAAUAAUGAAAAUAAUAAUCAAUAAAAACUGAGGGAACUCAGAGACCGGUGCCAGUGCAGGUCCUUGGUAUGCUGAGCGCCGGUCCCCUGGGCCCACUGUUGUUUCUCUGUACUUUGUCUCUGUGUCUUAUUUCUUUUCUCAGUCUCUCGUCCCACCUGACUAGAAAUACC